rnacentral:ncRNA from 1 species
CCUUCGGACUGUCAGACAAACCUUAGUAGCUUAGGCCAACAGGGACAGGUUGAACAAGGAA